rnacentral:rRNA from 1 species
UACGUAGGGGGCUAGGCGUUGUCCGGAAUCAUUGGGCGUAAAGAGCGUGUAGGCGGUCCGGUAAGUCCGCUGUGAAAGUCGGGGGGCUCAACCCUCGAAUGCCGGUGGAUACUGUCGGGCUAGAGUGCGGAAGAGGCGAGUGGAAUUCCUGGUGUAGCGGUGAAAUGCGCAGAUAUCAGGAGGAACACCAAUUGCGAAGGCAGCUCGCUGGGACGUAACUGACGCUGAGACGCGAAAAGCGUGGGGGAGCAAACAGG